AGAGUUUGAUCCUGGCUCAGGACGAACGCUGGCGGCGGGCUUAACACAUGCAAGUCGAAGGAGAAGGAAGGUGCUUGCACUUUCUGGAGACUGGCGGACGGGUGAGUAACGCGUAGAUAACCUGCCUAUAUCUGGGGGAUAACAUCUCGAAAGGGGUGCUAAUACCGCAUAAUGCAGCGGGGCCGCAUGGCCACAGUUGUUAAAGGCGUGAGCCGGAUAUAGAGGGGUCUGCGUACUAUUAGUUAGUUGGUGAGGUAACGGCUUACCAAGGCGAUGAUAGUUAGGGGGUCUGAGAGGAUGAUCCCCCACACUGGGACUGAGACACGGCCCAGACUCCUACGGGAGGCAGCAGUGAGGAAUCUUGCGCAAUGGAGGAAACUCUGACGCAGCCACGCCGCGUGCCGGAAGACGGCCCUAUGGGUUGUAAACGGCUUUUGAAUGGGAAGAACGUACGAGAUUUGUCUUGUAGUGACGGUACCAUUUGAAUAAGCACCGGCUAACUCCGUGCCAGCAGCCGCGGUAAUACGGAGGGUGCAAGCGUUGUCCGGAAUCAUUGGGUGUAAAGGGUGCGUAGGCGGGAGCCUAAGUCUGUGGUGAAAUCUUGCCGCUCAACGGUAAAAUGGCCAUGGAUACUGGGUUUCUUGAGUACAGAAGAGGUCGGUGGAAUUCGUAGUGUAGCGGUGAAAUGCAUA
rnacentral:rRNA from 1 species